rnacentral:rRNA from 1 species
UACGAAGGGUGCAAGCGUUACUCGGAAUUACUGGGCGUAAAGGGUGCGUAGGUGGUUUUUAAGUCCGUUGUGAAAUCCCUGGGCUCAACCUGGGAAUGGCAGUGGAUACUGGAAAGCUAGAGUGCGGUAGAGGGUAGUGGAAUUCCCGGUGUAGCAGUGAAAUGCGUAGAGAUCGGGAGGAACACCAGUGGCGAAGGCGGCUACCUGGACCAGCACUGACACUGAAGCACGAAAGCGUGGGGAGCAAACAGG